rnacentral:rRNA from 1 species
UACGUAGGGCGCGAGCGUUGUCCGGAAUUAUUGGGCGUAAAGAGCUCGUAGGCGGCUUGUCGCGUCGGUUGUGAAAGCCCGGGGCUUAACCCCGGGUCUGCAGUCGAUACGGGCAGGCUAGAGUUCGGUAGGGGAGAUCGGAAUUCCUGGUGUAGCGGUGAAAUGCGCAGAUAUCAGGAGGAACACCGGUGGCGAAGGCGGAUCUCUGGGCCGAUACUGACGCUGAGGAGCGAAAGCGUGGGGAGCGAACAGGAUUAGAUACCCUGGUAGUCC